AUACUUACCUGGCAGAGACAGAUACCAUGAUCACGAAGAUGGUUUCCCUAGGGGGAUCAUCCAUUGCACCCUGGAUGUGCUGCCCCUGCGAUUUCCCUAAAUGUGGGAAACUCAACUGCAUUAUUUGUGGUAAUGAGGGACUGCGUUCAUGCUUCCCUAU
ensembl:snRNA U1 U1 spliceosomal RNA